CCCUUAGAUGUUCUGGGCCGCACGCGCGCUAUACUGAUGCAUUCAACGAGUCUAAAACCUGCUCUGAUAGGGGUGGGUAAUCUUUUGAAUGUGCAUCGUGAUUGGGAUAGAUGAUUGCAAUUUUUCAUCUUCAACGAGGAAUGCCUAGUAAACGCAAGUCAUCAGCUUGCAUUGAUUACGUCCCUGCCCUUUGUACACACCGCCCGUCGCUCCUACCGAUUGAAUGAUCCGAUGAAUAUCAUGGAUUGAGGAUGCAAGCAGGUUCGCCUGUCUUCAUCUUCGAGAAGUGAAGUAAAUCUUAUCAUUUAGAGGAAGGAGAAGUCGUAACA
rnacentral:rRNA from 1 species